AGGCUGCUGAGACACUGUUCCAUCACAGGCAGAACAUGCCCAUUCUCUCAUGUGUGUUCUAUGUGUAGUAUAUGACUGCACCUUAGAAACACAGUAUCAGAGACUAUUAGUCACAAUACUCUAAAGGAAGAGAACUGAAAAAUGAACAUCAAGUUUCAAAACAUUUCUUAGAUUGACUUACAUGAUACAGACUGGGUAGCCCAACUUUGGCUACCUUCAUAAUGGGAAGGCCGAGAAUAUAACUGUUCCCUUCAUGAGACCCAGAGUUUACAGCAGUCUCAGUGUAGUGUUGACGGAGGCCAGCAAGAUUUCAGGAGAACCACCAUCUUUAGUCCAGGAUGGAAGCUGACGAUGCUGGGCACCAAUGUCAAUGAAGGAAUGUAGCGAUAUUGGGAACAAUGGCAUAGAAGCACUCUCAAGGAGCUGGAGGUGCAGUGCAGCAAAUCUCAGGAAUCCCAUUCAGAAAAUCCUUCCUGGAUAUGACUAACAUCUCUUCUCGUAUUUGAUUUUAGAUCCACCCAUACUUGAUAACUAUGAUUAAUCAAGUUAUCUGUUGCAGAGGCAGUCAUUCUUGUAUCCUUUGAGAUCAUUGCCUUUCUGUGUUCCUGUAGACGUUACCUACUAACACCAUUAUUUUCAUGCUCAAGAGCAUUUUCUAGUGUUUUGGGUCAAGUUUCUCUGACAGUGCAGGAGGAGGACUGGACUUUUUGAGUCAGGAGUCCAGGGAGAAACUUUAAAUAAAUGACUCUUGUAAGUUGGUGUGUAUGUAUCCUAGCUCUGUGAUCUCUUGAAUACGACGAAGCUGAGACUCUUAUUUUACAUAUUUCCCCACGUGCCAAAGUCCAUUGUACACAUACAUGGCCCCUUUGUACAUAUUUUUCUUAGUACAUCCUCUGUGUUAUAAAGUUCACAUGCCUCGUCAACACAACUAGACAAAUAUUUCUUUUCUGUUGAUGUGGUAAAAUACUCUGUACAAAGCAAUCUAAGGGAGUAAGUGUUUGUCUUGGCUUACGUUUCCAGAAGGAUAAACUCCAUAACCUGGAAGGCAUGAGUGCUCGAGGAUAGACCAUAUUGUCACAGUUCAUGGACAGCCAGGAUGAGUGCUCAAGGAUAGACCAUAUUGUCACAGUUCAUGGACAGCCAGGAUGCAGAGAUGGGCUGCUAAACUACAGUGCCCACUCACAAUAACCUACUGCUCUAACAAGGUUCCACCUCUUAAAAAUUUCAAGAUUUUCGCAAAAAGCACUGGUAUCUUGGCACCAAACAGUUAAACACAUAAUCCUAUGAUGGACAUAACACAUUCAUACCCCAGCCCCAUGGAAACACAGCUCUGGUUGUGUCUAUAUGAGUAGUUCCAGAAAGGGUUAAGUGAGGAAGUAGGUAGCGGUCCUGUACAGAAGAGCAAGGUCCCUGCUCAGCAUUUUCAUAGAAGGUUGACCUCCACUCUUGUCCAUAAUAUCUCAUCCAGGGUUGUGUGUUGUUGUAGAAUAGGUAAGAGACACAUAUGACAUAUAUUAAAAGUAAUGAGUGUUAUACUUUUUUUUUUGGUUUACCUGGGGAACCAUUAUUUAAACAUCUCACACAGAAUCAUCAUCACAUAACUUAUUUAUCUCUGUGGAGAUGAUACAAAUACAAAUCCUGAAAAAAGAAAAAGCUUCUUUUACAUAUUUUUAACAACAACGAAAAAGAAUUAUAUUUUAUUUGACAAACCUUUGUGUAUAUAGGUGUCUGUAUUGAAGCCAGAGGACAAUUUUAACUAUUGUUCCUCAAUUCUGUACUUUGUUGUUGUUGUUGUUGUUGUUGUUGUUGUUGUUGUUGUUGUUGUUGUUGUUAAGACAUGUUCUCCACUGGUUUCCAACUCACAUAGCUGUCUAGUAUGGCUGAACUAUUUCUCUAAUCUUCAUUAAUAUAGAGAAACCUUUAAAACACUACUUUCAUAAACAGUAUAUUCGUCUAGGACUUCUUUAUAUAAAAGUUGGGAAGAUAGAUAUGCAUCAGUAAAAACAGUAUUGAAAUGUUCAAUGAUCAAAAUGUGACCCUUGAGCAGUACUGAGCCCUUUUCUAGCUUGCCAGGAUAAGCAUUGAGACUGUGUGCUGACGAGCAAGCUUGCAAGCCCUGGCAAACUCUUCCCCUUGAGAGUCAGCUUUCAGCUGGACUGUAGCAUCUUGGCCAGCUGGGUAUCCUCAUGAUCCGCCACUGAGAGACACACUGCUUUAAUCUGUGCACCACAUACUCGAGCAGGGAAUAUGUCUGUCAAAUAAAUUCACCCUAUUCCACAGCCUUCCUGAAAGUUAAG
rnacentral:lncRNA from 1 species